rnacentral:tRNA from 1 species
GCUUUGUUAGUUUUAACCAAAACAUCAGUUUGUGAUACUGAAAAGGGGUCCAAAAAUGUCCCACAAAGCCUA